GUUCAGCGUCUACCCGUGAAAAAGUACCGGGGGGCUACAACCUCGGGAAUCUGCGGUGGGUUACGGGGCAGACUAAGAGUGGAUGUAGGGGAGACUGGAAUUCCUGGUGUAGCGGUGAAAAUGCGCAGAUAUCAGGAGGAACACCGAUGGCGAAGGCAGGUCUCUGGGCAUUAACUGACGCUGAGGAGCGAAAGCAUGGGGAGCGAACAGGAUUAGAUACCCUGGUAGUCCAUGCCGUAAACGUUGGGCACUAGGUGUGGGGGACAUUCCACGUUUUCCGCGCCGUAGCUAACGCAUUAAGUGCCCCGCCUGGGGAGUACGGCCGCAAGGCUAAAACUCAAAGGAAUUGACGGGGGCCCGCACAAGCGGCGGAGCAUGCGGAUUAAUUCGAUGCAACGCGAAGAACCUUACCAAGGCUUGACAUGGACCGGACCGGGCUGGAAACAGUCCUUCUCCUUUGGGGCUGGUUCACAGGUGGUGCAUGGUUGUCGUCAGCUCGUGUCGUGAGAUGUUGGGUUAAGUCCCGCAACGAGCGCAACCCUCGUUCUAUGUUGCCAGCACGUGAUGGUGGGGACUCAUAGGAGACUGCCGGGGUCAACUCGGAGGAAGGUGGGGACGACGUCAAAUCAUCAUGCCCCUUAUGUCUUGGGCUUCACGCAUGCUACAAUGGCCGGUACAAAGGGUUGCGAUACUGUGAGGUGGAGCUAAUCCCAAAAAGCCGGUCUCAGUUCGGAUUGGGGUCUGCAACUCGACCCCAUGAAGUCGGAGUCGCUAGUAAUCGCAGAUCAGCAACGCUGCGGUGAAUACGUUCCCGGGCCUUGUACACACCGCCCGUCAAGUCACGAAAGUUGGUAACACCCGAAGCCGGUGGCCUAACCCCUUGUGGGAGGGAGCCGUCGAAGGUGGGAUCUGGCGAUUGGGACUAAGUCGAACAAGGAGCGCGCUUCA
rnacentral:rRNA from 1 species